rnacentral:rRNA from 1 species
UACGUAGGGGGCAAGCGUUGUCCGGAAUCAUUGGGCGUAAAGCGCGCGUAGGCGGCCCGGUAAGUCCGCUCUGAAAGUCCAGGGCUCAACCCUGGAAAGCGGGUGGAUACUGCCGGGCUAGAAUCCGGAAGAGGCGAGUGGAAUUCCUGGUGGAGCGGUGAAAUGCGCAGAGAUCAGGAGGAACACCCGUAGCGAAGGCGGCACUCUGGGCCGAUACUGACACUGAGGAGCGAAAGCGUGGGGAGCGAACAGG